rnacentral:rRNA from 1 species
AUACGUAGGUGGCGAGCGUUAUCCGGAAUCAUUGGGCGUAAAGAGGGAGCAGGCGGCCGUGAGGGUCUGUGGUAAAAGACUGAAGCUCAACUUCAGUGAGCCAUGGAAACCGGACGGCUGGAGUGCGGCAGAGGAUCGUGGAAUUCCAUGUGUAGCGGUGAAAUGCGUAGAUAUAUGGAGGAACACCAGUGGCGAAGGCGACGGUCUGGGCCUGCACUGACGCUCAUUCCCGAAAGCGUGGGGAGC